rnacentral:rRNA from 1 species
CAUGCAAGUCGUGCGAGAAAGUAUCUUCGGAUAUGAGUAGAGCGGCGGACGGGUGAGUAACGCGUAGGAAUCUACCUAGUAGAAGGGGAUAGCCCGAGGAAACUCGGAUUAAUACCGUAUACCUCCUUAGGGAGAAAGAGGGCCUCUCUUGAUGCUCUCGCUAUUAGAUGAGCCUGCGUAAGAUUAGCUUGUUGGUGAGGUAAUGGCUCACCAAGGCUACGAUCUUUAGCUGGUCUGAGAGGACGAUCAGCCACAUUGGGACUGAGACACGGCCCAGACUCCUACGGGAGGCAGCAGUGGGGAAUAUUGGACAAUGGGCGCAAGCCUGAUCCAGCCAUACCGCGUGUGUGAAGAAGGCCUUCGGGUUGUAAAGCACUUUAAGCAGGGAGAAAAAGUUAUAAGUUAAUACCUUAUAACCGUGAUGUUACCUGCAGAAUAAGCACCGGCUAAUUCCGUGCCAGCAGCCGCGGUAAUACGGAAGGUGCAAGCGUUAAUCGGAAUUACUGGGCGUAAAGCGCGCGUAGGUGGUUUGUUAAGUUGGAUGUGAAAGCCCUGGGCUCAACCUAGGAACUGCAUCCAAAACUAACUCACUAGAGUACG